GCUCUCCCAAUGACUGUUAUGUGCUUGUUGAGGAAUGCCACCAGGUGAUCUAGAUGCUUUUCCAGUAUGCCUUGAAGAUUUUGGAGCCUGAAUGCAUAAACCCAACAAAGGUNNNNNNNNNNNUUGUCUCUAAUCAAGCCAAAAAUCUUCUCUACACAAGCAGUUAAUUGUUGUUUAAACAGUAUGGCCGGAUAUCUAGCUUCCACAUGUGACAGACCAUCCUCA
rnacentral:misc_RNA from 1 species